rnacentral:rRNA from 1 species
AGGGUUCCUGAGCAACGAUCGUCGUCUCAGGGUAAGUCGGGACCUAAGCCGAGGCGGAAAAGCGUAGGCGAUGGACAACAGGUUGAAAUUCCUGUACCGGUGUGAAUCGUUUGAUCGAUGGAGUGACACAGUAAGGUAGGUCAGCACGCGAUUGGAAGAGCGUGUUUAAGCAGGUAGGUUGAGCUAUAGGCAAAUCCGUAGCUCUAAAAGCUGAGAUGUGAUGACGAGUGACUAGCAAUAGUCGCGAAGUGAUUGAUCCUACACUGUCGAGAAAAGCUUCUAGGUAGAGACACAUCGCCCGUACCAAAACCGACACAGGUAGGCGGGGAGAGAAUCCUAAGGUGCGCGGGAAAACCCUCGUUAAGGAACUCGGCAAAAUGCCUCCGUAACUUCGGGAAAAGGAGGACUCAUGUAGUGUGAAGAGCAGAAGCGCUUGGAGCAUGAAUGAGUGGCACAAGAGAGGCGCAAGCGACUGUUUACCACAAACACAGGUGCCUGCUAAAGCGAAAGCUGAUGUAUAGGUGCUGACACCUGCCCGGUGCUGGAAGGUUAAGAGGAGGGGUUAGACUUCGGUCGAAGCUCUGAAUUGAAGCCCCAGUAAACGGCGGCCGUAACUAUAACGGUCCUAAGGUAGCGAAAUUCCUUGUCGGGUAAGUUCCGACCCGCACGAAAGGCGUAACGAUUUGGGCACUGUCUCAACGAGGGACCCGGUGAAAUUGAAAUACCUGUGAAGAUGCAGGUUACCCGCGACUGGACAGAAAGACCCCAUGGAGCUUUACUGCAACCUAAGAUUGAACUUAGUUAAUGAAUGUACAGGAUAGGUGGGAGACGUAGAACCUAGGACGCCAGUUUUAGGGGAGUCGCUGUUGGGAUACCACCCUUUCAUUAAUUGAUUUCUAACGGGCCGAGUAACGACCGGCCGGACAGUCUUAGGCGGGCAGUUUGACUGGGGCGGUCGCCUCCAAAAGAGUAACGGAGGCGCCCAAAGGUUCCCUCAGAGCGGACGGAAAUCGCUCGAAGAGUGUAAAGGCAGAAGGGAGCUUGACUGCGAGACGGACAGGUCGAGCAGGGACGAAAGUCGGGCUUAGUGAUCCGGUGGUGCCGAGUGGAAGGGCCAUCGCUCAACGGAUAAAAGCUACCCUGGGGAUAACAGGCUAAUCUCUCCCAAGAGUCCAUAUCGACGGGGAGGUUUGGCACCUCGAUGUCGGCUCAUCACAUCCUGGGGCUGAAGUAGGUCCCAAGGGUUCGGCUGUUCGCCGAUUAAAGUGGUACGUGAGCUGGGUUCAGAACGUCGUGAGACAGUUCGGUCCCUAUCCAUCGCGGGCGCAAGAAACUUGAAGGGGGCUGCUCCUAGUACGAGAGGACCGGAGUGGACGAACCGCUGGUGUACCAAUUAUCCUGCCAAGGGUACAGUUGGGUAGCUACGUUCGGGACGGAUAAACGCUGAAAGCAUCUAAGCGUGAAACCAGCCUUGAGAUGAGGUUUCUCAUAGCAUAAGCUAGUAAGAUCCCAUGUAGACGACAUGGUAGAUAGGCCAGGUGUGGAAGAGCCGUGAGGUUUGGAGCUGACUGGUACUAAUCGAUCGAGGGCUUUACUUA